rnacentral:rRNA from 1 species
UUAUGGAGAGUUUGAUCCUGGCUCAGGAUGAACGCUGGCGGCGUGCCUAAUACAUGCAAGUCGAGCGAACUGACGAGGAGCUUGCUCCUUUGACGUUAGCGGCGGACGGGUGAGUAACACGUGGGUAACCUACCUAUAAGACUGGAAUAACUCCGGGAAACCGGGGCUAAUGCCGGAUAACAUAUCGAACCGCAUGGUUCGAUAGUGAAAGACGGUCUUGC